rnacentral:rRNA from 1 species
GAUACGGGCCUUGAGAGAGGUAGCCCGGAGAGGGACAAUGAGAAACUGGUCCCAGCCCUACGGGGUGCAGCAGGCGCGAAACCUUUACAAUGCACGCAAGUGUGAUAAGGGAACCCUCAGUGCUCAUGUAUAACAUGGGCUUUUGCCAAGCGUAAAUAGUUUGGCGAAUAAGUGGUGGGUAAGACUGGUGCCAGCCGCCGCGGUAACACCAGCGCCACGAGUGGCAACCACGUUUAUUGGGCCUAAAGCGUCCGUAGUCGGUUUGGUAAAUCUUUUGUGAAAUCGUCGGGCUUAACCCGACGGCAUGCUCGAGACACUACCUUACUUGAGACCGGGAGGAGUGAGAGGUAUUCCUGAGGGAGCGGUAAAAUGUGAUAAUCUCAGGAGGAUCACCUAUGGCGAAGGCAUCUCACCAGAACGGAUCUGACGAUCAGGGACGAAGGCUAGGGGAGCGAUCCGGAUUAGAUACCCGAGUAGUCCUAGCAGUAAACGCUGCGAGCAAGAUGUUGCACUUCUUAAGAGGAUGUGCAGUGUCGAAGAGAAGUCAUUAAGCUCGCCGCCUGGG